GCUUGCACCUGGUGGCGAGUGGCGAACGGGUGAGUAAUACAUCGGAACGUACCUUAUCGUGGGGGAUAACGCAGCGAAAGCUGUGCUAAUACCGCAUACGCCCUGAGGGGGAAAGCGGGGGAUCGAAAGACCUCGCGCGAUUAGAGCGGCCGAUGCCUGAUUAGCUUGUUGGUGGGGUAAAAGCCCACCAAGGCGACGAUCAGUAGCUGGUCUGAGAGGACGAUCAGCCACACUGGGACUGAGACACGGCCCAGACUCCUACGGGAGGCAGCAGUGGGGAAUUUUGGACAAUGGGGGAAACCCUGAUCCAGCAAUGCCGCGUGAGUGAAGAAGGCCUUCGGGUUGUAAAGCUCUUUUGUCAGGGAAGAAACACCGGCUCUAACACAGUCCGGGAAUGACGGUACCUGAAGAAUAAGCACCGGCUAACUACGUGCCAGCAGCCGCGGUAAUACGUAGGGUGCGAGCGUUAAUCGGAAUUACUGGGCGUAAAGCGUGCGCAGGCGGUUAUACAAGACAGGCGUGAAAUCCCCGGGCUUAACCUGGGAAUGGCGCUUGUGACUGUAUAGCUAGAGUGUGUCAGAGGGGGGUAGAAUUCCACGUGUAGCAGUGAAAUGCGUAGAUAUGUGGAGGAAUACCAAUGGCGAAGGCAGCCCCCUGGGAUAACACUGACGCUCAUGCACGAAAGCGUGGGGAGCAAACA
rnacentral:rRNA from 1 species